GCAUCUAUUAACACGCAACCGCCAUCGACCACACGACCGGCGCGGGAUGCGCACGCCCCGCCCCCGUCUCCGGGGCUUCUCUGCGGCGGUGCUCUGCGCCGUGGGCGGCUGCGACCACCUGGAUUGCCACAGUGGCCCGUUCCUCGUCGUCUACGUGUGGGCCGGCUUCGUGGAAUAUGACCCCACGUGGGCGAGCGUGUACUCGUCGGAGACGGGCGAGUGGAGCGCCGCCUCCUCUGUUGCCGAUCGUCGCUGUUCUAGCGUUGAGCCCAAGCGCGGCGAGGUUGUCGGAAAUGUCGUCUGCUUCACGCUUCACUCUGGUUCGAUUGUCAUGUAUGAUUUGGGCGACCAUAGCUUGUCUUCGAUUAAACGUCAGGACAUGCCCGACGUGCACGGUGCGGAAGUUGUCCCCGUCCCGAUGGAGGACGGUUCGCUGGGGCUGGCUACCAUUGUGGCCUCAAGACUUUACCUGUGGUCAUUGGGUACAGCGUAGGGUCAUUGGCAUUGGGACGAUGCUCCCCAUUGGCAACCCCAAUAGCCUAGCUGAUGUGAUUGGGAUUGCAGAAGGUGUUGGUAUUAUCUUUGUGAGCGCUGAUGUUGGCGCCUUCACGGUUGAGCCCAAAUCUGGGAGGAUGAGGAUUGAGGAAGGUAAGUGACCAUGUAAAGUCCUACAACGCCAUACCCUUCAUGAGCUUCUAACUCCAGCUGAUCGUGCUAGCGGCAGAUUGCCAUUGCCAGCAGAGACAAAUUAAUCACUGCUGAGGAGCUGAGCCGAAGUAUGGUAGUACCUGGCCAAUUUACAAAUCCACCUAGCUGAAUCUGCUUGCAUGCCUUGUGCUUUGAAAUAUUUAGUAUUCUGUUGGGCAGUUUACUUUGUGAUAGUGUAAGACAUCAUGGUAGGUUAUAUUCCUUAUUGUUAUGAUCAUGACUGUGCAGGCCAUGUUUGAAGUUUACAGCUAAUAUUACUUUGGUGAGUGUUCAAUUGAUGGUUGACAGGACAGGUCAACUUUGACCUGAUGAUGUAUUGUGGUUGUUUUGACUGAAAAGUGAAUCUGUGUGCUUCAGUUUGAUUUUCAUUUCUGCAAAGAUGAUGGCAGUUUCAGGCCUUCUGCCCUUUUAUUGAUACAUGCGGAAUAAAAGGCUCAAAUUUGACUUCA